rnacentral:lncRNA from 1 species
UUCAAGGCUAGGCAGCAGCUUACUGUGCAAACAAGGUCAUUUGAUCAGCAAUGAGGUUCACUGUAAGUGUCUAAUCUCCAAAUCAAUUGACCACAUGGUAGAUUUUUGUCAGAAUCAGGAAUUUUCGGUGGUGAAGGAGAAAGGCACGAGGAGCCCACAGAGUUAUCAGAAUGGCGCUUAGAGAUAAAAUGCUCGACUGAGAAACCUGAUGUGGAAUAAACGCAAGCCCUAUUGGAAAGAUGGUUCAUGAUUAACAGAUUUGAUGGCCGUGAGCCAGGACUAGUGGAUCCUGCUAUAUAACCCUAGGAGUCAGAAGGAUUCGGGGAAAGGAUGAUGCUUUGACAUCAAGACCAGCUGUUGCUACAGAUUGAGUUCCCAGAAAGGAGCAAGGAUCACCCUGCCGUCUCCUCUUUCUCUGAACCCACAUGUCUCAUGAGGUCUUCUCAACUCUUGAAGUCAGCUGUCACAGACUGUAUAUAUCUCACAGAUUUACAUCUUCAGGACAGACACACAUCAUAACUGUGUAUCAGUUAUAACUACCUAGCUUUCCCACAAGCACUUGAAAGUGUAUAUGUUGGAAACAGAAGUUAAAAUCACCUCUCAAAUACAUUUCUCAUCUAUUCUGCUGAUCGAAAUGUCACCUUUAGGUAGGUACUCCUUCAAUCAUAGCACUUUGGAUACAGACAUAGGUGGAUCUCUUAAGUUU